GCAAGACAGUUACACUUUUUGCCAACCUGACUGCAGCACCUUUUUCCACAUGCCUGCUGUGUCCCAUACUGUCUUGCAGGCAUGAUUUCUUCCACAUUUCUUUCAAAAGGCUCUAUUCUUCCCAAAAGGCACGUUUGUAGGAUUCAUGACUAAUUGUUGCCUGUCAACAAAUUCUCCCACACGAGUCUCUGCAGCUCUGCCAGAGCUACCAAAGGCCCUUAUUAUUAAUACUGCUGUUGAUGAAUGCUCUCCAUGUUUGCUUUUUUCCACACUCUUUGUAUUGUUUGAUCCUUUUUGCUCCUUUAGAUGUUCUUUGCUUUGUCUAAUUCUGCCUUGAAUUUCUUCCCAACUUUCUUUCGGACUUGUCUGCUGUGUUGUUGUUGUUUUUUUAUGAUAAUGUUCAUUCACUUAUGUUCUCUAACAAUCCUCUGAGGCCUACAUAGAAUAGCUGAAUUUAUACUGAGAUGAAAUUACACAGGGCUUGACAAAUUAGAGCAAUCUGGAAUUUAUUUAGGAGCAUCAGAGUAAGGGUGACUGCAUACAAAUAUGCAACGUAACUUCAAGAAUUUUUUAUUUUUUUUGGUAAACAAAAAAUGUAAUAUCUUACAAUACAUGUUUUCAUUACACAAUUAAGUCCUCUACAGUGACUGCAUGCUAUUGAGAAGUAAUUUGUGCCACAUUAAUAAUGAAAUCCAGGACGCAGAAUCUCACACAGAGUGAGAGCACUAACCAGAUUCCUUACAGGCGCGCCAACUAAAUUUGGUAAACCAGGAAGACCUUGUAAAAGCAGUUUAGAAGACUGAGCAAACACACAGAGCAAAAUGUAGGCUACUAAAUUAUUACAUGAUGUCUUUUUGGUUUUGUCAGUAAGUAAAGCUCUCAUUUUAUUUAGCAUUAUUUUACGCCAUGAAAUAACACAGAAGAGGAACUUCUGAAAUGUCAAGCGGCGAGAAGGACAACCCUCAAAUAAACAUGAGGCCUAACAACUUGUCUUUUUUAGGAUCUCAACCGUGAUCCUAGUCCCAAACUUUUUUCUUUUUUUUUCUUCUUUCUUCCUGUCUCGUGACAGACAAAUGUCGGUCAAUCAUAGGCAGUGUGUCGGUACAAUGCCGCUGCUUGGUGACUCAUCGCUAAAUCUAUCAUUGUCGACGGACAUAUGCGGCAUGUGGUAUGAGAAGUGACACCGGUGUCAGCGCGGAGCAUUUUUCAGCGUGGGCUUUUAUACCCGCUCACCAGUCAGAAAGUACGCAACCAAAUGGUCAGCUAUAUUUACCAGCGUGAGACUAUGGGACAACAACAAGAACAACAACAUUUGUCAAGAUCCUCCUUUACAUCAGCUGGUGAUCUCUUCUUCCAGAAUCAGACUCCGCUUUAUUCGACAGCUGCAGGCCUGUAGGGGGCGUACAGACUCGGGCUUCCUGUUGGAAGGUGACUCAUCCAGCUUUGUCAGCUCUUAGCAACCCUGUUCUGCAGAACAGCACCUCAGCAUGAUGCUUCCACCACCACGUUUCACAGAGGUGCAGUUAGAGGGAUGAGGAGCGUCAGUUUUCCCCAUUGCACAUAUUGUUUGGCUUGUGAGCCAGAAAGUUCAAAUUUGGUCUCAUCUGACCAUGCAGGGUAAACGUAUGCUCUUUCCCACUGUGUGGCUUCUAUCACUUCCACGACUGCUUAUCAACUUUUUCUACAUACGCUGUCUUCUUGCCACUUUUUCCUGAGGCUAAAUGUGUGAAAUAUAACUCACUACAGUUGUCGUGUCAACAGAUUCUUCCACCCGAGCCGUAAAUCUCUGCAGCUUCUCUGCGUCUUUGCCGUUUUCUCUGAUUAGUGUGUCAGUUUAUGUUUAAUGUUCUCAUACAGAUCCCCAAGGCCUUCGCAGAGACAGUCAGAUUCGAACUGAGAAUAAUUCAGUCAGAAGGAUGCUUUAGAUUUAAUUUGAGGUUAUCCGACUUCCAGUGGGAGGAGUACACGAGCAAAAGUGAUGUGGAAAAAGUCGCAUAAGCGCAAGGAACCCAAAUUAAAAAAUAAAAAAUAAAAAAAUAAACAGUUACACAAAUAUAGGACUAGCAAUCAUUUCAUACUGGUGUUUCAGGAGAAUGAGUUUUCAUUUCUGCUAAUUAUUCAGGAGAAUUUCACUCUUCUCUGUGCCUUUAACAUCCAGAAGAACACACAUCCACAGUGGGGGGUGAUGAGUAAAAGGGCAAGCAUACUGCAGGGCAGCCCAGAAAAGCCCGGUGUUGGAAGCUGCUGUCACACAGCUUGCUCCGAAGGAAAUGGUGGAAAAAAAAAAAAGAACAUAGAUUUUUUUUUUUUUAUUCUCCUCCAAUGCAGGAAGAGCUGCAGGUAUAAGCUCCGUGUUUGGCAGUUCUCCAGUCUGAUCCACGGUGGACAGCUGGACUGCGCUGUCUGUCAGUACUUAUUUUAGUUGGUCAGUGGUAAACAGGCGUUCGUGGUUCAGAUGUAAUCUCAACCUCUUCACCGCUGCGCGCAGUAAAAUCCCAGCUCUAUAAGAGGCGGACACGGCGCCGGACGACACCUGACAGAAAGUUCAUUUCCAGCGCAGUGAAAUGACAAAUGGAUGGACGGGGCCGUGGCCACCAGAGAGCUCACUCACAGACCUUUCCGCUCUACGCCCACUGAAAACUUCACUGUUGUCAUUAACAUCAGUUCUAAAUUUAAAGAUUAUUUAGUGUUGGCAGAGACUGGUUUUAAAAGGGAUGAACUCAAUGAUUAAAAAGGCGAGGGUUGGCUUUGGAUGCCCGCGCGCAACAACUUCAGAUUAUUUCUUACCUUGUUUAAUACAAUUAUAUAAUAUAUUAUCGCUGCAUACUUUUAUGGUUAACUACAUACAAGUUGGCUCGUGUAAAUAUAACCUCUAAAACAAUAUAUAAAUGAAAUGCCUGUGCAGACAAAUAAAAAACACGCACCA